UACGAAGGGUGCAAGCGUUACUCGGAAUUACUGGGCGUAAAGCGUGCGCAGGCGGUGAUGUAAGACAGUUGUGAAAUCCCCGGGCUCAACCUGGGAACUGCAUCUGUGACUGCAUCGCUGGAGUACGGUAGAGGGGGAUGGAAUUCCGCGUGUAGCAGUGAAAUGCGUAGAUAUGCGGAGGAACACCGAUGGCGAAGGCAAUCCCCUGGACCUGUACUGACGCUCAUGCACGAAAGCGUGGGGAGCAAACAGG
rnacentral:rRNA from 1 species